rnacentral:lncRNA from 1 species
UGAAAAAGAAUAAAAGGUCACGGUGUGAAAUUUACCUUUAGGUUCUGCUGCCCGAAGGCUUCCCCUUGCGAUCAUGAGUGGCUCUACUGACUUCAGAGGGGUUAUUUUCAGAGCAGGUGAGCCGGAUGUGGCCCCUCUUCCAACGACAAACACUAACGUUGCUUGGGCAACCGCUGAGCCCAACGCUUGUAAAGUUUUGCUUAAGUUGCACCCACAAACCAUGUCUACAGAAGCACCAACAGCUUCUCUAGACAUCACACGGUGCAGAGUGGUCCAAGGAGAACAGCAGCAAGGGUCCUGACUCACUGCUUUCCGUCUGUGCUUUGGGAUUUGGGUUACUGGGUAGUCUUCUGAAAGCUUAUUUCCCUCCUGACUAACUCAAGGACUUAAUUUUCAGUGGAAGCGUUGUCAUGGCUCCUCUCCCCUGAAGACCAGGAGCUGGGAGAGCGGCGUGACUAAGCCGGCUGCUUAUCUUUGCUUUUUCCAGAGGCGACGUGUCUCAGGUUGCUGGAGCUCUGCUAACUCUGAGCUAAAACACCAACCGCAGUGUAAGUGCUUGACUUUUCCUCUUAGCUUCCCAGCCUUAUUCUCAAAAAAAUCUACCUUUUUCAUCAUGCCUACAGCUAAUCUAAUCUAAAAGGGGGCACGAUCCAAUGUCCGUGGCAUCCCUCGCUCCAGGGCAUGGUUCGUCCCCCGGCUGCCCGUGCUUCCGCCUGCGGUCCAUCCCGUGGGCAGCGACUGCAGACCACGGGGGUGCAGCUCGGAGCCCCAAAUCACCCUUGAAGAUAUGUCUUUAUCUAGACUUUGCCCAAGGACAAGAAUACCCCUUUAUCGCUCUCGGAAAUCGGGUGGAAACACCAAGAACUGCCUUUGCUCGAUCCAUCAGGGCAUCACAUUGAAGUGUCAUAACUGUGUCAUAAAAGUCUA